rnacentral:rRNA from 1 species
AAUGAACGUUGGCGGCGUGGAUUAGGCAUGCAAGUCGAACGGGCCGGGUCUUCGGACCCGGUCAGUGGCGCAAGGGUGAGUAAGGCGACGGUAACCAACCCUCUGGUCGGGCAUAGCCGCGGGAAACUGCGGGUAAUUCCCAGCGACGUUCCUGGCGGGCAUCCGCGGGGAACCAAAGCUCCGGCGCCGGGGGACGGGCCGUCGUGGUAUUAGGUUGUUGGCGGGGUAAUGGCCCACCAAGCCUGCGAUGCCUACCGGGCGUGCGAGCGUGGCCCGGCACACUGGGACUGAGACACUGCCCAGACUCCUACGGGAGGCUGCAGUCGAGAAUCUUCGGCAAUGGGCGCAAGCCUGACCGAGCGACGCCGCGUGGAGGAUGAAGGCCUUCGGGUUGUAAACUCCUGGCGAGGGGGAGGAAGGCCGGGCAACCGGCUUGACCGAUCCCUGGAGGAAGCACGGGCUAAGUUCGUGCCAGCAGCCGCGGUAACAC